rnacentral:rRNA from 1 species
UCCUGGCUCAGGAUGAACGCUAGCUACAGGCUUAACACAUGCAAGGUCGAGGGGCAGCAUGAUCGAAGCUUGCUUUGAUUGAUGGCGACCGGCGCACGGGUGAGUAACGCGUAUCCAACCUUCCCUAUAGUAGAGGAUAGCCCGGCGAAAGUCGGAUUAAUACUCUAUGUUUUCCAGUGCAGACAUCUAAAAUGGAACAAAGGUUUACCGCUAUAGGAUGGGGAUGCGUCUGAUUAGGUUGUUGGCGGGGUAACGGCCCACCAAGCCUACGAUCAGUAGGGGUUCUGAGAGGAAGGUCCCCCACAUUGGAACUGAGACACGGUCCAAACUCCUACGGGAGGCAGCAGUGAGGAAUAUUGGUCAAUGGGCGAGAGCCUGAACCAGCCAAGUAGCGUGCAGGAUGACGGCCCUAUGGGUUGUAAACUGCUUUUAUAUAGGGAUAAAGUGACCCACGUGUGGGUUUUUGUAGGUACUAUAUGAAUAAGGACCGGCUAAUUCCGUGCCAGCCGCCGC